rnacentral:rRNA from 1 species
UACGUAGGUGGCAAGCGUUGUCCGGAUUUACUGGGCGUAAAGGGCGCGUAGGCGGUCAGCACAAGUCAGUUGUGAAAUCUCCGAGCUUAACUCGGAAAGGUCAACUGAUACUGUGCGACUAGAGUGCGGAAGGGGCAACUGGAAUUCUUGGUGUAGCGGUGAAAUGCGUAGAUAUCAAGAGGAACACCUGCGGCGAAGGCGGGUUGCUGGGCCGACACUGACGCUGAAGCGCGAAAGCCAGGGGAGCGAACGGG